rnacentral:rRNA from 1 species
CCUACGUGAGGCUGCAGUGAGGAAUAUUGGUCAAUGGGCGCGAGCCUGAACCAGCCAAGUAGCGUGAAGGAUGACUGCCCUACGGGUUGUAAACUUCUUUUAUAAAGAAAUAAAGUGAGGCACGUGUGCCUUUUUGUAUGUACUUUAUGAAUAAGGAUCGGCUAACUCCGUGCCAGCAGCCGCGGUAAUACGGAGGAUCCGAGCGUUAUCCGGAUUUAUUGGGUUUAAAGGGAGAGUAGAUGGGUUGUUAAGUCAGUUGUGAAAGUUUGCGGCUCAACCGUAAAAUUGCAAUUGAUACUGGCAGUCUUGAGUACAGUUGAGGUAGGCGGAAUUCGUGGUGUAGCGGUGAAAUGCUUAGAUAUCACGAAGAACGCCGAUUGCGAAGGCAGCUUACUAAACUGCCACUGACAUUGAUGCUCGAAAGUGUGGGUAUCAAACAGGAUUAGAUACCCCGGUAGUC